rnacentral:rRNA from 1 species
UACGUAGGGUGCGAGCGUUGUCCGGAAUUAUUGGGCGUAAAGAGCUUGUAGGCGGUUUGUCGCGUCUGCUGUGAAAAUCCGGGGCUCAACCCCGGACUUGCAGUGGGUACGGGCAGACUAGAGUGUGGUAGGGGAGACUGGAAUUCCUGGUGUAGCGGUGAAAUGCGCAGAUAUCAGGAGGAACACAGAUGGCGAAGGCAGGUCUCUGGGCCACUACUGACGCUGAGAAGCGAAAGCAUGGGGAGCGAACAGGAUUAGA